GUACUAUCUGGUAUACACGUGGAAUAUUUUAGACUCCAGUGGUUCUUCCUUAAUUCUGCCUAUAAAAUUAAGCUGAUUUGUUGCAGAACUGCAGCCUGGAGUAGGCCACUGCAACCCAAAGGUUAAUCUGCAAAGGGUAAUCUGCAGUAUCAUCAACAUCACAUAAUAUUUCCAUUAGGAUCAUCUCAGUUCAUUCUCACCAGGACAACGUUGCUCACUGCAUCUUCUCACUUCUUCACCUGUGCCUUCACAUUGCUGCCCUGUUACUGCAGCACCUUGACAAGUCCUCAUUCGCCUUUCCCAGCCGCCAUCACAGGAUUUGGAACAUCCGCUCCAAUGACCCCACUGAUUCCACUGACCAUUUGCUGAAAGAAAUGUGUCAUGGUCAAUGGCAGUAGCCUACUGCAACUGUUUUAGGAAUUUGAAAAUCUGAGGACCAUUAUUGUUUGUUUAGUUUUUAUUAGUCUACCACGAUGAAUAAGCCCUAUUCAAACAUUUGACUUGCUAGUCAAAGAUAGAGCACUGUGAGUGUCACAAGUUUAUAUAAGUUUGUCAGAAUCUUCAAAUGGACACUGAAACUUAUUUGUAAAAAGUGCAAGUUCAGUGCUGACCUGGAUCAACUUAAUCUAGAUUUAAUCUAAGAAUCUCCAGAAUUUUGUUGCUUUAUUACUGUGACAUAUAGUAGAAUGAGCUCUAGUACAAUUGAUUUCAUUUACCAGAAUACAUAAUUAUCUAAUUAUUCCAUGACUGCCUCACAUGGUUCUGUCACAUUUUAUAAAUGGCAGGCAUUCUUUAAAUGUAGUGAUCAGGCCUCACCUGUACACUCAGGGUUAUAGCACUCUCUGCUUUCUGCCCAUGGCCCUCUGCAUUCAGAGCCCCCAUGAGCUGCUGCAGUACACUGCCUGCUUCUCUGCUGGGUCCCAUUCGAGCAUGUCACUGAGCACUGACUCCAUGGACUCCACUCUUGCCACUGUCCAUCAACUGCCAAAGCAGAUAGAGAGACACUGUAAGGAGAUAUUCCAAUAGAGAAGGCUGUAGAGAAAGUACAAGUAAAAUUAACCUUGGAGAUGAGUCCCAACCAAGGGACUCUCAGUGAAUACAAUGGAAAAUCAUACUGGCACUAGAUUCUUUUACUACCCUACCCCCCAAACUACUAUUACCUUAUUUUCUCACUUCUAUUUCCUUUUAUGUAUCCAAUAUCUCUUUUGAGCCACUUAUUGCUUCAAAAUACGUAUUGAUUAGUCAAUAAUGCAAGACCUUGGGCUAGGAGGCAAGUACACAGAGCAGUGAAUGAAAUAAAUACUGACCAAUAACUCAUAGAGCUCAUGUUUUAAAGAAGAAACCCCUAUAACGAGUUAAGCACUUAAUAACAUGUUAAAUUAAUUAUAUAGUGCUGCUUCAAAGGAUAAUUUAAAGACAUUUUAAGAGCUUGGAGGGCCUGGGGAGUCUUCCUUGACAAAGCAAAUUUUCAGACAAGCCUUGAAGAAUAAUAAGGGAUAAUGUAAUAAAUGUUAUGAGAAAUACAGAAAUUAAAAGAUUAUGAAUCCCACCCUCAAAAAUCUUGUAAUUUAGUAGAAGAAUACAUUAUGCAGACAAAUAAGUAAAUAAAAGGUUAAAAGCAGUAACAUCUUAAUAUGGUACAUAAAGCCUUUCAGAUGGCACAUCAUAACUACUUAGGGAUAAUUAUGUUAGAUUAAUAUGGUAAGAUUUGGAUAAUUUAGACAACAGAGACAGCAUUCACAAAGGCAUAAUCCCAUAGGCCACAAAAUGUAAGUAUGCAAAGGAAUCAGGCAAAAAUAUUUACCCAAUUUAGAAUGCAUAAACUAGAAUAUAAGUGUUAUAAAUGCACUCAUAUAUGACUGUCUACUUUUCCCCAUGUCAUUCCAUGGUACUUAGUUUCAUUAUAGUGAAAAAGAAUUCAUCAUAAAUCCAAAGUUCCAACAUAAGAUGAUACUGCUGUGAAAACCUAUCCACCCAUCCAAACAAACCAAAAAGCUUAGCAGAAUAUGUGUAAGUGCUGUCAGCCUAAUUUCAGGCUUUGAAAGUAGCUAUUAAGAAAGAAGAUUGUUUAAUAGGUAUCUAGAUCUACUUAAUAAA